CCUACGGGUGGCAGCAGUGGGGAAUAUUGCACAAUGGGGGGAACCCUGAUGCAGCGACGCCGCGUGAGUGAAGAAGUAUUUCGGUAUGUAAAGCUCUAUCAGCAGGGAAGAAAAUGACGGUACCUGACUAAGAAGCCCCGGCUAACUACGUGCCAGCAGCCGCGGUAAUACGUAGGGGGCAAGCGUUAUCCGGAUUUACUGGGUGUAAAGGGAGCGCAGGCGGCUGGGCAAGUCUGGUGUGAAAGGCCGGGGCCCAACCCCGGGACUGCUUUGGAAACUGUACAGCUGGAGUGCAGGAGAGGCAGGCGGAAUUCCUAGUGUAGCGGUGAAAUGCGUAGAUAUUAGGAGGAACACCAGUGGCGAAGGCGGCUUACUGGACUGUAACUGACGCUGAGGCUCGAAAGCGUGGGGAGCAAACAGGAUUAGAUACCCCAGUAGUC
rnacentral:rRNA from 1 species